AUGCACGCUGGCGGCGUGCCUAAUCCCUGCCAGUCGCGCGAACAGACGAGGAGCUUGCUCCUCUGACGUUAGCGGCGGCCGGGUGAGUAACACGUGGAUAACCUACCUAUAAGACUGGGAUAACUUCGGGAAACCGGAGCUAAUACCGGAUAAUAUAUUGAACCGCAUGGUUCAAUAGUGAAAGAUGGUUUUGCUGUCACUUAUAGAUGGAUCCGCGCCGCAUUAGCUAGUUGGUAAGGUAACGGCUUACCAAGGCAACGAUGCGUAGCCGACCUGAGAGGGUGAUCGGCCGCACUGGAACUGAGACACGGUCCAGACUCCUACGGGAGGCAGCAGUAGGGAAUCUUCCGCAAAGGGCGAAAGCUUGACGGAGCAACGCCGCGUGAGUGAUGAAGGUCUUCGGAUCGUAAAACUCUGUUAUUAGGGAAGAACAAAUGUGUAAGUAACUAUGCACGUAUUGACGGUACCUAAUCAGAAAGCCACGGCUAACUACGUG
rnacentral:rRNA from 1 species